AUACGGAGGGUGCAAGCGUUACUCGGAAUCACUGGGCGUAAAGCGCGCGCAGGCGGCUUGAUAAGUUGGAUGUGAUAGCCUACGGCUCAACCGUAGAACUGCAUCCAAAACUGUCAGGCUAGAGUGUGGGAGAGGAAGAUGGAAUUAGUUGUGUAGGGGUAAAAUCCGUAGAGAUAACUAGGAAUACCAAAAGCGAAGGCAAUCUUCUGGAACACUACUGACGCUGAGGCGCGAAGGCGUGGGGAGCAAACAGGAUUAGAAACCCGAGUAGUCC
rnacentral:rRNA from 1 species